rnacentral:lncRNA from 1 species
GUUAUACUGAACACACAUUGAAAAUCCCAGUUUUGUUUGUCGUUCAGGAUAAAGACCUCCCGCGCAGAAUGGUGUUGCCUAGUAUUGUGUUUGCGUCAUGGCUCUUGUGGGCCGUCAUGCAUCGUUUUGGUUCUGUUAUUUACUUUGUCGUUUGCACGGAAGACUUCAGAACACAUAUGCCGGAAGCCCCUAACUACGUCGAGCAGCGGACGCUUCAACAGGCCCCGUCAGGCCGUCAAAGGAUCGAGCCAGAGCCGGCGGCCCUUAAUUACGCUUAUUUGCGUGGUUUCGGGAAGACCGGGCAACAGUUUCUACCAUUCCUACCUAAUAAAGGUCCUGUUGUGGAUAUCCUCCAUCCCGCAGUGGUGUUGGCAAGCAACCCCGAGCUCCCUGUGUAUGCUCCACUCCCCGUUGCCCCGUUGAUUUUCUCCGAUUUGCAAAAUUGGUGACGAAGAACCAUCAGGGUGCACACGUGAAGUCUAUCAGUUACUUGUGUUUGCAUGAGAGGUAUCUGGAGUCACCGAAGCAUGGCGAGAGAUUUGACCAGUCUUCCGCAAACAGGAAAGAUGAGCAACCACAGGCGAGGCUCGAAGGACUGGAAAAAGCAAGUAAACGUUCCCAUCAGUCUCGUCAUGCAGAUAUUAUACGCAGAUGUGCGGUUCUUGACUGUGAGGGACGUGCUGCCACUUCGUGGCAAUGCCAGAUCGGCUGCGCAUAGGUUGUUCGGAAUCCCAGGGUGACGAUCGUGUACACUUGAGCAUCACACCGCAAACAGACCCAUGAUGUCCUCCCCGUCAGGCUCAAUGUGGCAACUCUGCUUUUACUGUCGCUUCGCCGUGACAUUGUCCCAGUCCUCUGAGAGCCCGUUCUGGCUGCCGUCAUUCUUCUGCACGCUCUCAACUACAAGGGACGCUCUCUCGCUUGCCUGCCACCGUGCGGUUACCGUGUCACCGUUUUCUCAAAAAAGUUAUGUGGAAGUUCUUUUGAUUUCCAUGAAGAGAAUAAACCUAGGAAUCCCUUUUUAUGUGUAACAGGGAGUCUAGCUUUAGUUGUUAUCUGACAGGGA